ensembl:snoRNA
GUGCACAUUUCAUUUUUUCUUUUUUAUUAAAAGAAAAAAUAUUUCUCAUAUGCUAAACAAACUUGAAGGUAAAUUAAUAGCAUGCUUAUCUUAGCCACUGCUGUCAGUCGCCACCCUUCAGACAAGU